UGGGUUGUGGCUCAGCGGUAGAGCGCUUGCCUAGCAUGUAUGAGGCCCUGGGUUCGAUCCUCGGCACCACAU
rnacentral:tRNA from 1 species